rnacentral:tRNA from 2 species
GCCCAAGUGGCGGAAUGGUAGACGCGCUCGUUUCAGGUGCGAGUGGUUAACAGCCGUGCAGGUUCGAGUCCUGUUUUGGGCA